CCUACGGGGGGCUGCAGUGAGGAAUAUUGGUCAAUGGACGAGAGUCUGAACCAGCCAAGUAGCGUGAAGGAUGACUGCCCUAUGGGUUGUAAACUUCUUUUAUAUGGGAAUAAAAUGUUCCACGUGUGGGCUUUUGUAUGUACCUUAUGAAUAAGGAUCGGCUAACUCCGUGCCAGCAGCCGCGGUAAUACGGAGGGUCCGAGCGUUAUCCGGAUUUAUUGGGUUUAAAGGGUGCGUAGGUGGGUUGUUAAGUCAGUUGUGAAAGUUUGCGGCUCAACCGUAAAAUUGCAGUUGAAACUGGCAGUCUUGAGUACAGUAGAGGUGGGCGGAAUUCGUGGUGUAGCGGUGAAAUGCUUAGAUAUCACGAAGAACUCCGAUUGCGAAGGCAGCUCACUGGACUGCAACUGACACUGAGGCACGAAAGUGUGGGUAUCAAACAGGAUUAGAUACCCCUGUAGUC
rnacentral:rRNA from 1 species